AUUGAACGCUGGCGGCAGGCCUAACACAUGCAAGUCGAGCGAGCGGCGGACGGGUGAGUAAUGUCUGGGAAACUGCCUGAUGGAGGGGGAUAACUACUGGAAACGGUAGCUAAUACCGCAUACCAUCAGAUGUGCCCAGAUGGGAUUAGCUAUUAGGUGGGGUAACGGCUCACCUAGGCGACGAUCCCUAGCUGGUCUGAGAGGAUGACCAGACACACCGGAACUGAGACACGGUCCAGACUCCUAUGGGAGGCAGCAGUGGGGAAUAUUGCCCAAAGGGCGCAAGCCUGAUACAGCCAUCCCGCGUGUGUGAAGAAGGCCUUCGGGUUGUAAAGAACUUUCAGCGGGGAGGAGUUACCCGAAGAAGAAGCACCGGCUAACUCCGUGUCAGCCGCCGCGGUAAUAC
rnacentral:rRNA from 1 species